GGUGAAUUGCUCAGUUGGGUAGAGCAUGGAGCUGAUAAUGCCAAGGCUGCAGGUUCGAUCCCCGCUGCAUAUUCCUGCA